rnacentral:rRNA from 1 species
GACGAACGCUGGCGGCGUGCCUAACACAUGCAAGUCGAACGGAAAGACCAUGCGUUUGUGGGGUGCUCGAGUGGCGAACGGGUGAGUAACACGUGUGUAACCUCCCCUUGACUUUGGGAUAACUUCAGGAAACUGGGGCUAAUACCGGAUAGGAGCUCCUGCUGCAUGGUGGGGGAUGGAAAGUUUCGGCGGUUGGGGAUGGACUCGCGGCUUAUCAGCUUGUUGGUGGGGUAGUGGCUUACCAAGGCUGUGACGGGUAGCCGGCCUGAGAGGGUGACCGGCCACAUUGGGACUGAGAGACGGCCCAGACUCCUACGUGCGGCAGCAGUGGGGAAUAUGGCACAAUGGGCGGAAGCCUGAUGCAGCAACGCCGCGUGCGGGAUGACGGCCUUCGGGUUGUAAACCGCUUUCGCCUGUGACGAAGCGUGAGUGACGGUAAUGGGUAAAGAAGCACCGGCUAACUACGUG